UGUAACUAGCUGUAAAGUUACCAUACAUAGCAUCCACCCCCUUCUCUCUCUCUCUCUCUCUCUCGGUUUUAAUUUUCUUUUUCGGCCUCUCUGAGUUUUAAUUGGUGGAGCUUCUGAUAUAAGACGAAUAAUAUCUUCAACAAGCUAAGAAGAAGAAGGAAGGAAAAGGAAAUGGAACAAGGAGCAUCUCUCUCGUGAAAACAUAAAAAAAUUCUUUUGUUUUUUGUUUUUUCAGUUCCAAGAAGAAGUGAACAGUGCCGAUUCGCCAAUCCAAAGCAUAUACUAUAUCGAUUUGUAACUUGAGAGGAACAAUCUUCUGUCAGUCACUCAGAAUGGCAAGAAAGAAGAUCAAGAUAAAGAAGAUUGACAACAUAACAGCAAGGCAAGUGACAUUUUCAAAGAGGAGAAGAGGGCUUUUCAAGAAAGCUGCUGAGCUUUCUGUACUUUGUGAUGCUGAUGUUGCACUCAUCAUU